rnacentral:snRNA from 1 species
GUCCUCAAGCAGCAUAUAUACUAAAACUGGAACAAUUCAGAGAUCAGUAUGGCCCCUUCAAAAGGAUGGCACACAAAUCUGUGAGGUGUCGCAUAUUACA